rnacentral:rRNA from 1 species
UACGUAGGGAGCAAGCGUUGUCCGGAAUCAUUGGGCGUAAAGCGCGCGUAGGUGGCCUCAUAAGUCCGCUGUGAAAGUCAAAGGCUCAACCUUUGAAAGCCGGUGGAUACUGUGGGGCUAGAGUACGGAAGAGGCGAGUGGAAUUCCUGGUGUAGCGGUGGAAUGCGCAGAUAUCAGGAGGAACACCAAUAGCGAAGGCAGCUCGCUGGGACGUUACUGACACUGAGGCGCGAAAGCGUGGGGAGCGAACAGGG